rnacentral:rRNA from 1 species
CGGGUGCGUAACGCGUAUACAAUCUACCUUUUGCUACGGGAUAGCCCAGAGAAAUUUGGAUUAAUACCGCAUAGUAUAUUGAGAUCGCAUGGUUCUAAUAUUAAAGGUUACGGCAGAAGAUGAGUAUGCGUUCUAUUAGCUAGAUGGUGUGGUAACGGCACACCAUGGCAACGAUAGAUAGGGGCCCUGAGAGGGGGAUCCCCCACACUGGUACUGAGACACGGACCAG